CUUCAUCUUUACAAAUGAGAGACCACCAUCGUUGUACCAUCUCUUCCCACACCCCUCUCCUCCACUCAAGUUUUCUUGCGAUCAAACAAAUGCCAGUUCCGUAAGUAAGAAGACGAGUCUCCAAAUCAAUCACCAUUCCAUCUCAUGUGUGUUGUUAUGAGCAAAGCCGAGAGGAGAAGACGUGCGAACCGGAGCCACCAUCUCAUCAUCACCAACCACCAUUUAUUUGCACCGCUGUGAGCCUAAAGCCACCAGAUGUGUGUCUCAUAGCACUGGAGAUACUUUCGUACGCCAGAGUUUUUGCCAUGUCUCAAGCCGAGGAGAAGAGAUGAGCCAUAUUGGAUCCAUGGCUUUGCGGGAGGAUCCUAGGUCGAUUCAGGGGACUUUAGCCUUUGAACCAUGGCUUUUUGGUUAGAUCUCGUUUCCAGGAAUCUGUAGCAACAAACGGAGUCGAGAUCGGAGUUGUACAACAAAAGUUAUUGAUGUUGCUUCAAGCCAAAAAUAAACUUAAGCUGUUGCGAUUCAGAGACAGUUCCGACCAGUCUCAGCGUAAAGGCGAAACGGUCGACCAAACAGAAGAUUUUAGUAUGGAAAUUUGUCAGUAAGUAUUUAACUCUUUUAUCUAUCAUCUCCAAGAAGCGGAUUGUCAUUCCGAAUUAUUUUCUGAAAGUUGUGUUUAUUCUCGCGAGAGGUACUGCUGCAGUCUUCGUAUGCGACCAGCCUGGAGGUGAAACCAUUUUGGUUGAUCAAAUGAUUGUCGAUCGGAGUAAACCCGGUGGCUAUGGACAAAGGACAUAUAGGACUACAUUCUUACCGGAGGGAUCGAAAGUUUAAUGAAAGUUUCGGAGUUGUUAUUUUAGAGCCAUCAAAGUCCAUUCAGUGUGUUCUCAUAUUUUCUGAAGAACCCGUGGCAAAGGUGAGACUGACGAGUAUAUGAUAUUUGGACGGAUUGAUAUUAUUGAACUUUUUAUUUGGAUUUUUAUUUGGGCUUUGGGUGAAUGUAAUUGGGUAUAUGAGUUUUUAUUAUACGAGAUAUUGUUGGUGACCCGCUGUUCUCCGGAUCGGAGGUGACGGGUGUCACAAAAACUUGAGAACAAGUAAUGUUUAUGAUAACAAAAAAGAUCAGAACAAAACAAAGGUCUCUAGUGGUUUUCUUUAAACAUUGUAAAUUUAUCAAAAAAUAAGUAUAAA